rnacentral:rRNA from 1 species
GAUGAACGCUGGCGGCGUGCCUAAUACAUGCAAGUAGAACGCUGAAGCUUGGUGCUUGCACCGAGCGGAUGAGUUGCGAACGGGUGAGUAACGCGUAGGUAACCUGCCUCUUAGCGGGGGAUAACUAUUGGAAACGAUAGCUAAUACCGCAUAAAAGUCGAUAUCGCAUGAUAUUGAUUUGAAAGGUGCAAAUGCAUCACUAAGAGAUGGACCUGCGUUGUAUUAGCUAGUUGGUGAGGUAACGGCUCACCAAGGCGACGAUACAUAGCCGACCUGAGAGGGUGAUCGGCCACACUGGGACUGAGACACGGCCCAGACUCCUACGGGAGGCAGCAGUAGGGAAUCUUCGGCAAUGGGGGCAACCCUGACCGAGCAACGCCGCGUGAGUGAAGAAGGGUGUCGGAUCGUAAAGCUCUGUUGUAAGAGAAGAACGAGUGUGAGAGUGGAAAGUUCACACUGUGACGGUAACUUACCAGAAAGGGACGGCUAACUACGUG